AUUGAACGCUGGCGGCAGGCCUAACACAUGCAAGUCGAACGAGUGGCGGAGGGGUGAGUAAUGUCUGGGAAAGUGACCGAUGGAGGGGGAUAAAUACUGGAAACGGUAGCUAAUACCGCAUACCAUCGGAUGUGCCCGGAUGGGAUUAGCGAGUAGGUGGGGUAACGGCUCACCUAGGCGACGAUCCCUAGCUGGUAUGAGAGGAUGACAGGCCACACUGGAACUGAGACACGGUCCAGACUCCUACGGGAGGCAGCAGUGGGGAAUAUGGCACAAUGGGCGCAAGCCUGAUGCAGCAAUGCCGCGUGUAUGAAGAAGGCCUUCGGGUUGUAAAGUACUUUCAGCGAGGAGGCGUUACUCGCAGAAGAAGCACCGGCUAACUCCGUGCCAGCAGCCGCGGUAAUUC
rnacentral:rRNA from 1 species